rnacentral:rRNA from 1 species
GACGAACGCUGGCGGCGUGCUUAACACAUGCAAGUCGUACGGUAAGGCCCUUUCGGGGGUACACGAGUGGCGAACGGGUGAGUAACACGUGAGUAACCUGCCCACAACUUUGGGAUAACGCUAGGAAACUGGUGCUAAUACUGGAUAUGUGCUCCUGCUGCAUGGUGGGGGUUGGAAAGCUCCGGCGGUUGUGGAUGGACUCGCGGCCUAUCAGCUUGUUGGUGGGGUAGUGGCCUACCAAGGCGGCGACGGGUAGCCGGCCUGAGAGGGUGACCGGCCACAUUGGGACUGAGGUACGGCCCAGACUCCUACGGGAGGCAGCAGGGGGGAAUAUUGCACAAUGGGCGCAAGCCUGAUGCAGCAACGCCGCGUGCGGGAUGACGGCCUUCGGGUUGUAAACCGCUUUCAGCAGGGACGAAGCUUUUUGUGACGGUACCUGCAGAAGAAGCACCGGCUAACUACGUG